AGUUGUUUAGCUAUAUAAGUAGAUAUUUUGAAAGUAUUUGAAAAGUAAAUCUUAACAACUU
rnacentral:tRNA from 1 species